CGAUCUGAACUUCAAUUAUAUUUGAAUUUGUAUUUUUAAAAUUUACACUUAAUGUAAUAUAUUUUGAAAUAUAUAUAAUAAAGAAAAAUAAUUAUUUCAAAGUCUGGAUUUUUGGAUUCGGGUUUCAGAUUUGACAGUUGUUUUCGGGUUUGGAUUUUUCAGAAUUCACCUCGAAUCCGACCCGUUGACAUCCUGGUCUGG
rnacentral:lncRNA from 1 species